rnacentral:rRNA from 1 species
GAUGAACGCUGGCGGCAUGCCUAACACAUGCAAGUCGAGGGAAAAGCUCACUUCGGUGAGUGGAAACCGGCGCACGGGUGAGUAACGCGUAGUUUAUCUGCCUUCAAGAAGAGGAUAACACCCAGAAAUGAGUGCUAAUACUCUAUAAGCUCACGAGGACUAGAGAAUUGUGAGAAAAUGCUCCGGCGCUUGAAGAUGAGACUGCGUAUCAUCAGCUAGUUGGUAAGGUAACGGCUUACCAAGGCAACGACGAUUAGGGGACCUGAGAGGGUGGCCCCCCACACUGGGACUGAGACACGGCCCAGACUCCUACGGGAGGCAGCAGUGAGGAAUAUUGCACAAUGGAGGCAACUCUGAUGCAGCAAUGCCGCGUGAACGAAGAAGGAUUUCGGUCUGUAAAGUUCUUUUCUGUGUGACGAGAGUGGACGGUAGCACAGGAAUAAGUCUCGGCUAACUACG